GUACCACCGACGAGUCCCAGACUAGGACGAAACAGCUUUCCAGUAU
rnacentral:hammerhead_ribozyme from 1 species